CAGUCGUACCUGCGGGUAAUCAGCCUUUUGGGCAUGAUUCUGUGGAGCGUGAGGAGUUAAACGCCUUCGGAUUCGUUAGGAUCGGGUUCUUUUGGUGUACUUUCUCGUACGGUUAGUCAACAUCGGUUUUGAAUGUCAUAAAAUGACUGGAGGAAUGUGGCUUCGAUCUCGUAUCGAAGUGUUAUAGCCUUUGGUAGAUGUGAUGUUCGAGUCCGGAGGAUUG
rnacentral:rRNA from 1 species